GCUGCUACAGCUCAGUUGGGAGAGCGUCAGACUGAACAUCUGAAAGUCCCACGUUCAAUCCACGGUGGGCGCA
rnacentral:tRNA from 1 species